rnacentral:rRNA from 1 species
GAUGAACGCUGGCGGCGUGCUUAACACAUGCAAGUCGAACGAAGCACUUUAUUUGAUUUCCUUCGGGACUGAUUAUUUUGUGACUGAGUGGCGGACGGGUGAGUAACGCGUGGGUAACCUGCCUUGUACAGGGGGAUAACAGUUGGAAACGGCUGCUAAUACCGCAUAAGCGCACAGCAUCGCAUGAUGCAGUGUGAAAAACUCCGGUGGUAUAAGAUGGACCCGCGUUGGAUUAGCUAGUUGGUGAGGUAACGGCCCACCAAGGCGACGAUCCAUAGCCGACCUGAUAGGGUGACCGGCCACAUUGGGACUGAGACACGGCCCAAACUCCUACGGGAGGCAGCAGUGGGGAAUAUUGCACAAUGGGCGAAAGCCUGAUGUAGCGACGCCGCGUGAGCGAAGAAGUAUUUCGGUAUGUAAAGCUCUAUCAGCAGGGAAGAUAAUGACGUUACCUGACUAAGAAGCACCGGCUAAAUACGUG